rnacentral:rRNA from 1 species
CUCGUAGGUGGCCAACUAAGUCAGACGUGAAAUCCCUCAGCUUAACUGGGGAACUGCGUCUGAUACUGGAUGGCUUGAGUUUGGGAGAGGGAUGCGGAAUUCCAGGUGUAGCGGUGAAAUGCGUAGAUAUCUGGAGGAACACCGGUGGCGAAGGCGGCAUCCUGGACCAAUACUGACACUGAGGAGCGAAAGCCAGGGAGCAA